AGCGAGUUCCAGGACAGCCAGGGCUACAUAGUAAGACUCUAUUCUGAAGUGUCGGCAUUGAUCGCCAUUGCCUAAUUGGGUCUUGAUGAUGGAUCGUUUCAUCCAUGAACACCCCCAAUAUUACAGUCUGGUGUUGACUUCACGAGUUGCAUGAAGAUUAAAAAUGACUUACUAGGCAGUGAGAUUGCUCAGUGGGCAAAGACGCUCGGUGCUAAACCUGAUGACCUGAGUUCAGUCUCCAUGGCCCGUGGGACAGAAGAAGCGAACCGACUCCUUGACUCCUGCAAGUUGUCCUCACACACUAAAAUAAAUAAAUUAAAAAAAAGAAUGACUUACUGUUUCUUGCCACUCAGACUCCCGGGGGUUUCUCCUGACCAUUGUGACAUCUAUGGUGACUGUUGACAAGGUCUUAGCUGCUUUGUUUUCUUAGCCACUUAAAGAGCUUCCUAGGGCUGCUGGAGCAAAGUACAACAGAUAAUGUCUUGAACAAGAUUUAUUUUCUUAGGGUUCUUGGGGUUAGAAGUCCAAAACCCAGGCUGCAUGCCAUAUUGUAUACAUGUAGCCCAGACACCCAAGUAGGCCGAGGCAGGGUCACUAGAGACCAUGAGAUCAAGGCCAGUAUGGCGAGCACAGCAAGACCCUAUCUGUAUUAUUGACUUUUAUUCUUGUUCUGAACACAGUGCUUGAUCAAAACAUUUUAAAAGAGGAGGAAGGACUUACCUGGUUCACAGUCUUAGAGGGUUUGGUUCGUGAUUACUUGAUGCUGUGUGCUUGGGCAGGGCAGCAUGGCUCCAGCAACAGGUGGAGCAUGUGUGAGAAGAGAGCUGUAACUUCAUGCUGGACGGGGAGCAGAGAUCCAUACAGGAAGACUCAAGAGCAAAAUAAGACACCCCCCACCCCGAGAACGUUGACAGACUUCACGCAACCGGCUCCACCUCCCAUCCUCUGACUCCUUUCAAUAAUGCCAUUAUAUCAAGAACCCACCAAAGAAUCAGCCCACUCUUCAGGUCGGCACCCUUAUUAUCCAGGCUUCUCGGGAAACCCACUGCAGACCCAGCCAGAGGCGCGCUUGACUUGUUUCUCAGUCUAGUCUGGUUGGCAAGAGGACCCAACCAAAGGGCCUCAGCAGGACUGGUUCCUUGCUCUCCCCUACCUUCUGCUGCCUGGAUGCUGGCAGUCUCCGGGUUCCCUACCCUGGCCUCUGCCUUUACCUUCACUCGGCAUUUCACAUUCCACACUGUACUUAUCUUUGUGUCCAAGUUUCUUUUAAAUUGUUUGGUUUAUAGUACUUUCUUACUGGAGUCUUGGUAAAUUAAUACAUGUGCCAUAGACUAUUUAGG